UACGUAGGGGGCAAGCGUUGUCCGGAAUCACUGGGCGUAAAGCGCGUGUAGGCGGAUCGGCAAGUCUGCUGUGAAAGCUCCUGGCUUAACCGGGAGUGGUCGGUGGAAACUGCCAGUCUGGAGGACGGUAGAGGUAGGUAGAAUUCCCGGUGUAGUGGUGAAAUGCGUAGAGAUCGGGAGGAAUACCUGUGGCGAAGGCGGCCUACUGGGCCGGACCUGACGCUGGAGACGCGAAGGCGUGGGGGAGCGAACGGG
rnacentral:rRNA from 1 species